GCCAGAGUGGCGGAAUUGGUAGACGCGCACGACUCAAACUCGUGUGGCUUCGGCCGUGUGGGUUCGACUCCCACCUCUGGUA
rnacentral:tRNA from 1 species